CCGCCCUGUUUUCUCUUCCAUGCAAAAGUGUAACAGUUUUUAUCAGUUAAUAACGGAAAAUAGAAAAAAAUAAUUGAUAAAAAAGAUGCACCUUUUCUCUCCCUCCUCUGCUGCUUCUUCUUCUUCCUCGAAAUCAAGUUUCAGUCUAUUCACUUCCUCUCAAAAUCCUAACCACAAAUACGUAAAUUACACUUCGAAUUUCUCAUUCAAGAUCCCUUCAAAGACUGUUACAAUCCCAUGCUCAUCCAAGCAAUCCUCUCUCGUCCUCGACCAGAGACCACUCUCCACCGAAUCAUCAUCAAUAAACAGAAAACCAGUUUCACAUACCGAACGCAAUACUGAAUCGGAGAAAGAUUCUGUAGAGGGACUACUCGUGGUUCGCAGGCCGGCGGUGGAGGUUCCCGGUGAAGAUUCAAGCCAGAAUAGUGAUAAUGUUAAUGACAAUGAGAAGAGUUUUUGAAUGAUCCUCCAAUGGUUGAAGGAAGUAUGUUACUGGGUUGGGAAAUAUACCCUCUUGUCACAUUACAUGCCAAAACGACAACAAAAAGGGAAAAGUGUGUAUAUGAACGACGUCGUCGUCUGGGGCAAAUGUUUUAGUUCAUUUGUCUAGUGUACAUGAGAUCGUUGAUUCGUUGUCCCUGAUAGACUAUGAUUUUCAACCAACAAAAGUACUCCGCGUGUCUGAAAAUCUGCCAUUUAGACAGAGGGUAAGCCAUAUGAGAUGUGAACUACGUGUCCACUCUCAAGCCACUUACUACCAAGUACCAAAUUACUCAAACGCCCAACCCAUCGAAAUCCCACAUUUUAGUCUUUUUCUUGCUUUAUUUACUAAAAAAGAAAAAAGAUUGAAAAAAAAAAAAAGAGAUAAGAAGAGAGAAGGAACAAAUGAAAUUGAACAAUCUCAUAAGUGAUUGCCUUUAUUAAUAUCAGAUUAAUUUCAAUUAAAAAGAAUAUCCAAUUUUUUUUUUUAAAAAAAAGAGGGUUAUAUUGGUCAUUGCACUCUCCCCAUCCCCCGCCCUGUUUUCUCUUCCAUGCAAAAGUGUAACAGUUUUUAUCAGUUAAUAACGGAAAAUAGAAAAAAAUAAUUGAUAAAAAAGAUGCACCUUUUCUCUCCCUCCUCUGCUGCUUCUUCUUCUUCCUCGAAAUCAAGUUUCAGUCUCUUCACUUCCUCUCAAAAUCCUAACCACAAAUACGUAAAUUACACUUCGAAUUUCUC
rnacentral:lncRNA from 1 species